GACGAAGGAUGCAAGCGUUAUCCGGAUUCAUUGGGUUUAAAGGGAGCGUAGGUGGCCUUAUAAGUCAGUGGUGAAAUCUCUGGGCUUAACCCAGAAAUUGCCAUUGAUACUGUAGGGCUUGAGUAUAGUUGCCGUUGGCGGAAUAUGACAUGUAGUGGUGAAAGACAUAGAGAUGUCAUAGAACACCGAUUGCGAAGGCAGCUAACGAAACUAUAACUGACACUGAGGCUCGAAAGUGCGGGGAUCAAACAGG
rnacentral:rRNA from 1 species